rnacentral:rRNA from 1 species
CCUACGGGCGGCAGCAGUGAGGAAUAUUGGUCAAUGGGCGCGAGCCUGAACCAGCCAAGUAGCGUGAAGGAUGACUGCCCUACGGGUUGUAAACUUCUUUUAUAAAGGAAUAAAGUGAGGCACGUGUGCCUUUUUGUAUGUACUUUAUGAAUAAGGAUCGUCUAACUCCGUGCCAGCAGCCGCGGUAAUACGGAGGAUCCGAGCGUUAUCCGGAUUGAUUGGGGUUAAAGGGAGCGUAGAUGGGGUGUUAAGUCAGUUGUUAAAGUUUGCGGCUCAACCGUAAAAUUGCAAUUGAUACUGGCAGUCGUGAGUACAGUUGAGGUAGGCGGAAUUCGUGGUGUAGCGGUGAAAUGCUUAGAUAUCACGAAGAACUCCGAUGGCGAAGGCAGCUUACUAAACUGCCACUGACAUUGAUGCUCGAAAGUGUGGGUAUCAAACAGGAUUAGAUACCCCAGUAGUC